ACGGAAGGCAGCAGUGGGGAAUAUUGCACAAUGGGGGAAACCCUGAUGCAGCAACGCCGCGUGGAUGAAGACGGUCUUCGGAUUGUAAACUUUUGUUCUUAGUGAAGAUAAUGACGGGAGCUAAGGAGCAAGCCACGUCUAACUACGUGCCAGCAGCCGCGGGAAUACGUAGGUGGCAAGCGUUGUCCGGAUUUACUGGGUGUAAAGGGAGCGCAGGCGGGAAUGCAAGUUGGAUGUGAAAGGCCGGGGCUUAACCCCGGAACUGCAUCCAAAACUGUAUUUCUUGAGUGAAGUAGAGGUAGGCGGAAUUCCGAGUGUAGCGGUGAAAUGCGUAGAUAUUAGGAGGAACACCAGUGGCGAAGGCGGCCUACUGGGCUUUAACUGACGCUGAGGCUCGAAAGUGUGGGGAGCAAACAGGAUUAGAUACCCUGGUA
rnacentral:rRNA from 1 species